UACGGGGGGAGCAAGCGUUGUUCGGAUUUACUGGGCGUAAAGGGCGCGUAGGCGGUCGUGACAAGUCACUUGUGAAAUCUCCGGGCUUAACUCGGAACGGUCAAGUGAUACUGUCGGACUAGAGUACAGAAGGGGCAACUGGAAUUCUCGGGUGUAGCGGUGAAAUGCGUAGAUAUCGAGAGGAACACCUGCGGCGAAGGCGGGUUGCUGGGCCGACACUGACGCUGAGGCGCGGAAAGCCAGGGGAGCGAUCCGG
rnacentral:rRNA from 1 species